AAAAACUAGAUCAGUAUUUGGUGUAUGUGAAGAAAGGUGACUCAGGGGAUGUUUGGGAUUUUGGUGCAUCAAAGGAGAUCCAAGACUGCAAAAUUUAAGAAAUGUCGAUAGAAUGGAGAGAAUUUUUGGUAAAUGUGAUGGAUGAUUGUACAGAAAUAUGGAAAGAUUCAGACCUGUCGAGAAGGGUGUUAGGGAUCGAUUUGUCAACACUGUUUUGGGAGGUUUCAUGGAAAGGUAAUCGUUAUCUUGUUGUUGGAUUCACAAGGAUUUAUUAUUAGGUAAAAAUUGAAAGAGGAGGUG
rnacentral:lncRNA from 1 species